rnacentral:rRNA from 1 species
UAGGGAAUCUUCGGCAAUGGACGAAAGUCUGACCGAGCAACGCCGCGUGAGUGAAGAAGGUUUUCGGAUCGUAAAACUCUGUUGGUAGAGAAGAACGUUGGUGAGAGUGGAAAGCUCAUCAAGUGACGGUAACUACCCAGAAAGGGACGGCUAACUAUGUGCCAGCAGCCGCGGUAAUACGUAGGUCCCGAGCGUUGUCCGGAUUUAUUGGGCGUAAAGCGAGCGCAGGUGGUUUAUUAAGUCUGGUGUAAAAGGCAGUGGCUCAACCAUUGUAUGCAUUGGAAACUGGUAGACUUGAGUGCAGGAGAGGAGAGUGGAAUUCCAUGUGUAGCGGUGAAAUGCGUAGAUAUAUGGAGGAACACCGGUGGCGAAAGCGGCUCUCUGGCCUGUAACUGACACUGAGGCUCGAAAGCGUGGGGAGCAAACAGGAUUAGAUACCCUGGUAGUCCACGC